UCCCAGCCAUGCCGCGUGUGUGAAGAAGGCUUUCGGGUUGUAAAGCACUUUCAGCGAGGAAGAAAGCGUGCCGUUUAAUACACGGUACGGACGACAUCACUCGCAGAAGAAGCACCGGCUAACUCCGUGCCAGCAGCCGCGGUAAUACGGAGGGUGCAAGCGUUAAUCGGAAUUACUGGGCGUAAAGCGCGCGUAGGCGGCGUGUCACGCCGGGUGUGAAAGCCCCGGGCUCAACCUGGGAACGGCAUCCGGAACGGGCAGGCUAGAGUGCAGGAGAGGAAGGUAGAAUUCCCGGUGUAGCGGUGAAAUGCGUAGAGAUCGGGAGGAAUACCAGUGGCGAAGGCGGCCUUCUGGACUGACACUGACGCUGAGGUGCGAAAGCGUGGGUAGCAAACAGGAUUAGAUACCCUGGUAGUCCACGCCGUAAACGAUGUCGACUAGCCGUUGGGUCCCUUGAGGACUUAGUGGCGCAGUUAACGCGAUAAGUCGACCGCCUGGGGAGUACGGCCGCAAGGUUAAAACUCAAAUGAAUUGACGGGGGCCCGCACAAGCGGUGGAGCAUGUGGUUUAAUUCGAUGCAACGCGAAGAACCUUACCUACCCUUGACAUCCUGCGAACCCGGAAGAGAUUCCGGGGUGCCUUCGGGAGCGCAGAGACAGGUGCUGCAUGGCUGUCUCA
rnacentral:rRNA from 1 species